rnacentral:antisense_RNA from 1 species
UAAGGAAUGAGAUAAAUUACUGCUUUUCUAGACUUCCUAGCAUGGGCUGUUGUGCUGGAGAGAACGAGAGCUACGAAGAGACUACAAUGCCUCUGACUUUUUCAUAGGACAGUUGGCCGAGGAAGACAAACAUAAAGAUGAAGUGCUUAAUUCAAGGUCACACAAUGUCGGGGAUGGACCUCCAGAUUUCCUUACUGACCUGCAUUAUCUUGUGGAUACCUGAGUGAAUUCCACACCACCCAUUUUAUAGAUGAAACCACUGAGACAUGGAGCAACUGACUGAGUAGUCACUGCCCCACCCCUGCCUGGAGCCUCACACAUGACUCGUCUCCUCUCAGUGACCACAGGUUGGUUGAGGGGUUUAACAAGGCUAAGAAGGUGAGACGUGGUCUUGUAACACAGUGGUUAAGAAUGUGACUUUGGAGCCAGCCUGCUAGGGGCUGAAUUCUGACUCAGCCAUUUACUAACUGUGUGACCUUAGGUGGAGUCUCACUCUGUAGCCCAAGCUGGAGUGGUGUGAUCUCGACUCACUGCAACCUCCGCCUCCUGGGCUCAAGUGAUUCUCGUGCCUCAGCCUCCUGAGUAGCUGGGACUACAGGUCACAGAAUUUUCCACACUCCUUGACGGAGGUGCUUAACCCUUAUCCAUCAGCAUUCUCAGACAGCACCUCCGGUUA